rnacentral:rRNA from 1 species
AACGAACGCUGGCGGCAUGCCUAACACAUGCAAGUCGAACGAGAUCUUCGGGUCUAGUGGCGCACGGGUGCGUAACGCGUGGGAAUCUGCCCGUUGGUUGGGAAUAACAGUUGGAAACGACUGCUAAUACCGGAUGAUGACGAAAGUCCAAAGAUUUAUCGCCAGAGGAUGAGCCCGCGUAGGAUUAGAUAGGUGGUGUGGGAAAGGCGCACGCAGGCGACGAACCUUAGGUGGUCUGAGAGGAUGAUCAGUCACACUGGGAGUGAGACACGGCCCAGACUCCUACGGGAAGCAACAGCGGGGAAUAUUGGACAAUCGGCGAAAGCCUGAUCCAGCAAUGCCGCGUGAGUGAUGAAGGCCUUAGGGUUGUAAAGCUCUUUUACCCGGGGUGAUAAUGACAGUACCGGGAGAAUAAGCUCCGGCUAACUCCGUGCCAGCCGCCGCAGUAA